rnacentral:rRNA from 1 species
UACAGAGGUCUCAAGCGUUUGUUCGGAUUCAUUGGGCGUAAAGGGCGCGUAGGCGGCGGGGUAAGUCGGGUGUGAAAUCUCAGAGCUCAACUCUGAAACUGCACUCGAUACUGCUCUGCUUGAGGACUGGAGAGGAGACUGGAAUUCACGGUGUAGCAGUGAAAUGCGUAGAUAUCGUGAGGAAGACCAGUGGCGAAGGCGGGUCUCUGGACAGUUCCUGACGCUGAGGCGCGAAGGCCAGGGGAGCAAACGGGG